AUGAGGAGACUUCUGAGGGUUUUCUCACUGGAAAGUGGUGACCCGGCAGGCAACCUUCCUCUUAGUGUCUCCAGGAGAGGGAGUUUCCAUCGCCUGCCGGGAAGCAGCAAAAACCAGGGAAGCUUCCAAAGAUCUACCGUGUGUUUCAUCCACUUCGGCCACAACCACACCCCAACCCCCAGCUUGGUGCAGUGGCCGUGGGGGCAGGCUCUGUGCUCAACAGUGAUCAGCUGAUUGUCCUGGUGACAGUGCUAGUUAUUACUGUCAAAAACGAAACUGUUCAUGUGACAUGCUGUCCGCCCGGUCAGGGGCAGCGGAUCUGGACAGACGUCGCCCUCACCAUCCACCACCAAGAUGCUUUCAGGAGAACAGGC
rnacentral:lncRNA from 1 species